UACGGAGGGUGCGAGCGUUAAUCGGAAUUACUGGGCGUAAAGGGUGAGUAGGUGGAUGUAUAAGACAUUUGUGAAAGACUUAGGCUUAACCUGAGGGAGUCAGAUGUGACUGUACAUCUUGAGUAUAGGAGAGGGCAGUGGAAUUUCUGGUGUAGCGGUGAAAUGCGUAGAUAUCAGAAGGAACACCGGUGGCGAAGGCGGCUGUCUGGCCUAAUACUGACACUGAGUCACGAAAGCGUGGGGAGCAAACAGG
rnacentral:rRNA from 1 species